ACCUUUUUCCAUAUUUUAGAUUAUUUUUCUGAGACAUAUUUGUCUAUGGCCACAUUGAGGCUUUCCUGUUGAGCCAUGUCAAACAUUUGAAUUUUAUCCUAAAAAUAUUCGGAAGCACAAAGGGAUUUCAAGCAAGGGAAUAGUAGAUUGAGAUUUAUGUUUCAGAAAUAAGACUGUCAUGGCAGUUAGAAGAUUGUAGAGAAAAAAAGAGAAGAGACAGAGAGAUUUAUUGGAAUUAAAAAAAAAAAAAAAGCAGUUCAGGAAAUUGAUAACAAAGGCCUGGCCAAAGACGGUGGGAAUAAGAAAAUGGAUCGCAAAGUAUUUGUGACCCAGACUAGACAGGACCUGGUGACUGGCUGGAUGUGGGGUUAAGGAGAGGGUGGCAUUGAGAAGGAUCCUGAGCUUUCCAUCUCAAGACAACGGAGGUGAAGAGUAAAGGAGGAGUAGGUUGGGGAGGAAAGAAUCCUAUUUAGGACCUCUUGAGUUGGAAAUGCUUGUAAGACAUCCUGGUGGAGACACCUAAGAAGUAACUGAACAUGUGUUUGGUACUUUGGAGAAAAGCGAAAGCUUGAAAAGAAAAUGUACACUUAGGUUAAUUGUUAAAGUAGUUAUUAAGUGAUUUCAGUGGGUAAGACACCUGUUGCAAACUGUGAGAGACUCAAAUAAACAGAAAUGCAUUCUUCACCGGAUCCCGGAAGCUUAUAAUCAUCCUGCGUCACUAAAGCAAUUACCUUGUUAGGCUGUCAUUUCUCCAUUCACAUGUCUGCUUCUCCAAGCACACCGAGAUCCUCUCUGGGCCUAGGGCCCAGCUCUGUCCUUAUUCUCUUUUUAUCCUUUGUGAUAUGAUAUUCUCUUUCUUUCGCGUGCAAUAAAGGGCACAGUGCAAGGUCAUUAGCCAUUAAUGCUUAUGGAAAAAUGAGUGAGUGAAAGGAAGAGCUUAUGAGGGGGCAACAAAGGGCUAAGAAGUUUAGGUUGUGAAAGAGACCCCAUCUUAUACCAUACACAAAAAUAAAUUCCAGACAAAGUCAAGACUCAGAUGUAAAAACAAACAAAAAAGCUUUGUGGGAGCGCCCACUGUGAUGCAGAUUAAGGAUCCAGCAUUGUCUCUCCAGUGGUUUGGAUUGAUGCUGAGGCGUGGGUUUGAUCUCCUGCCCAGCACAGUGGGUUAAGCAUCCAGUGUUGCCUAGCUGUGGCAUAGGUCACAGCUGUGGCUGGAAUUUAGUCUCUGGCCCGGGAACUUCCUUAUGCCACGGCUCAGUGGGUUAGGAACUCGACAAGUAUCCAUGAGGAUGCAGGUUUGAUCCCUGGCCUUGCUCAGUGGAUUAAGGAUCUGGUAUUGCCCUCAGCUGUGGAGUAGGUCACGGAUAUGGUUCAGAUCUGGUGUGGCUGUGGCUGUGGUGUAGGCCAGCAGCUGUAGCUCUGAUUCGAUCCCCUAGCCUGGGAACUUCCAUAUGCCAUAGGUGCAGC
rnacentral:lncRNA from 1 species